AACAAACGCUGGCGGCGUGCCUAACACAUGCAAGUCGAACGAGAAAGUCGGUUUCGGCCGAUGAGUAAAGUGGCGCACGGGUGAGUAACGCGUGGAUAAUCUACCCUUUAGUCCGGAAUAACUUGCCGAAAGGUGAACUAAUACCGGAUGACAUCCCGGGUUCUCCGGAAACCGGGAUCAAAGAAGGCCUCUGCUUGCAAGCUUUUGCUGAAGGAUGAGUCCGCGUACCAUUAGCUAGUUGGUGGGGUAAUGGCCUACCAAGGUUAUGAUGGUUAGCUGGUCUGAGAGGAUGAUCAGCCACACUGGAACUGAAACACGGUCCAGACUCCUACGGGAGGCAGCAGUGAGGAAUAUUGCGCAAUGGGGGCAACCCUGACGCAGCAACGCCGCGUGAGUGAGGAAGGUUUUCGGAUUGUAAAGCUCUGUCGAGCGGAAAGAAUGCACGAUGGCUAAUAUCCAUCAUGCUUGACGGUUACCGCUAGAGGAAGCACCGGCUAACUCCG
rnacentral:rRNA from 1 species